rnacentral:rRNA from 1 species
CCUACGGGAUGCAGCAGUGGGGAAUAUUGCACAAUGGGGGAAACCCUGAUGCAGCGACGCCGCGUGAGUGAAGAAGUAAUUCGUUAUGUAAAGCUCUAUCAGCAGGGAAGAAAAUGACGAUACCUGAGUAAGACUCCCCGGCUAACUACGUGCCAGCAGCCGCGGUAAUACGUAGGGGGCAAGCGUUAUCCGGAUUUACUGGGUGUAAAGGGAGCGUAGACGGCAGUGCAAGUCUGGGGUGAAAGGCGGGGGCGCAACCCCCGGACUGCUCUGGAAACUGUAAGGCUGGAGUGAAGGAGAGGUAAGUGGAAUUCCUAGUGUAGCGGUGAAAUGCGUAGAUAUUAGGAGGAACACCAGUGGCGAAGGCGGCUUACUGGACUGUAACUGACGUUGAGGCUCGAAAGCGUGGGGAGCAAACAGGAUUAGAUACCCUGGUAGUC